rnacentral:rRNA from 1 species
AUUGAACGCUGGCGGCAUGCCUUACACAUGCAAGUCGAACGGUAACAGGUCUUCGGAUGCUGCCGAGUGGCGAACGGGUGAGUAAUACACCGGAACGUGCCCAGACGUGGGGGGUAACGUGGCGAAAGCUUGGCUAAUACCGCAUACGAUCUAAGGAUGAAAGCAGGGGUCGGCACGGGCUUGUGCGGCUGGAGCGGCCGGUGGCGGAUUAGGUAGUUGGCGGGAUAAAGGGUUACCAAGCUGACGAUCUGUAGCUGGUCUGAGAGGACGAGCACCCACAUUGGGACUGAGACCCGGCCCAGACUCCUGCGGGAGGCCGCAGUGGGGAAUCUUGGACAAGGGGCGAAAGCCUGAUCCAGCAAUGCCGCGUGCAGGAUGAAGGCCUUCGGGUUGUAAACUGCUUUUGGACGGAGCGAAAAGGAUCUGGCUAAUACCUGGGGCACAUGACGGUACCGGAAGAAUAAGCACCGGCUAACUACGUG